rnacentral:rRNA from 1 species
AUGCAUCAACAAAAUGACAUAUAUUUAGUGACAAUAUUAGUUAUGUCAAAGUUAAAAGUUCAGUAUGAAGAGCGACAAUACAGAGCAUUUGUAGCUAACUUAUUUCCACACAAAAUUUUGAAUUUCUUUUCGCCCAUUAAGGGCAUUUUUAAUCAAAUGUUAUAUUUUUCUAUACAAGGCGCAAGUGAAAGUCAAUACAUGCCAACGAUAACAAGGUCUUACAUAAAGUUUAAGCUAACUAAACCUUCCACUGGGCUGACAUUGAACCAAUUCUACGGAACAAAAGGUGAAUCCCAGAAGUACAAGAUGUAUCAUAAAUGGAAACUAGUCAUGAAGAGUCGCUCCUAUGUAUAG